rnacentral:rRNA from 1 species
UGGUGUGCGUGGAGCGCCGUGGACCCACCCCGUCCCAUCCCGAACCGGGUCGUGAAACAUGGCAGCGCCGAAGGUACUGGCGGUAGGACCGCUGGGAGAGUAGGUCCGCGCACCAU